AAGUAUAUUAUGAUGACGUGAAAUAUUUUUCUGUUUCACAAAUAGCUUUUUCAAAUUUCAAUACACUUACAUUAAAAGUUAGGAAGGAAAUUCAAAAUUGUGAUACUUAAUAUGAACUGAAGCUACAACGUUAACCUAAAUGUCUAAUAGCAAAAAAAAACAGUAAUGUAUGAUAGUUGUAACGAUGCACUUUACUCUAAUAUAAAUAAUAAAAUAGGAGUAAUUUAUUACAUAACACAUUAGGAUUUAAAUAAAUAAAAAUAAUCUGUUCAAUGCGCGAUUGUACGCUCUGCGAAACAACAGCGUCAGUAGUUUUGACCGCGCCUAACGUUCGCUCUGCACCGGCCGUCUCACUCUGCUCCCGACCGUCUUAGGGAAUGGACCCGUGCCGGCUGCGUUCACGGCAUCGCGCCGUGUCUUCAUACGCGCCGGACGGGUCUAAUAAUUCUUUAAAUUACGCGAUAAAAUACAUUAUAUUAAAAAGAAAGAGUGAUAAAUUUAUUAGAAGUUUAAUUACGUAUAUAAAAAUCUAGUUGAGUUCCGUCUUGCACCCCGAGUAAAGGGGUGCAAGUUCCAGAUUAGAAAAACCCUCGGCGGCGCGGCUCCUUGUUCCCGGCCGGCCGCAGAGUACCGAGGGACGCAGAGGCCUCCAUCCACAACUGCACCAGCGAUCCACAGCACUUCCCCAUCGUUCCCCAUCAACCCGGAGCGCUCCAGCGGCGCGACCAGCUUACGCGACAGGGGAGUGUACCGCCUGCCAUGGAACUAGACAGGCAAAUUCAAAUUAACGGACUUUUACCACGGCCCUCGCUCGGUAAAGUUUUUUAUUUUUAAUAAAUCAUUUUAUUUGAAAGCGUCUGGGUGUUUUCUUAACGACCCAGCCUUACCCGUUUCAUAGUAACGAGCAGAUUACCUGUAUAUUGAAGCAAACGAUUAAAAUAUGUAUAAAUAGGACUUGCCCGCUCCUCUCCAAAAAUACUGAAACCUUAUUUAACCACGCUAGGUACUCGUACUCGUAUCUUAACGCAAAAUGAACUUAAAUGGUUACAAUGAAAUGCUACAUUGUUUUAACAAUUGAAGACUCUCCAGAGAACGAUAUUUCACCCCUUACAAUGUUGCCGUUUAAUUUUACUAGGUAUCUUACGUUUACUGGUACUAAGACUAUCCUUUCUUAGUAGGUAUUUGGAUUUACUUUAAGUAUUUAAAAAAAUACGAUUUAGACAUAUCGCAGUAUUUGCAAUUCGAUUGUGUUCAAUACCGCGAGGUACGAAAACUUUAGAGGUAUGAUUAUCUUGUUUCUUUUUCAUUGAAAUCUCACAAAUUAUCUGAUUUGUAAAAAAAUUUGAACAGCUCUCAGCUUGUUCUGCACAAAGCUGGGUGAAGAACGAUGGGUGAAGGAAAGCGAUCAAAAUCGUUUUUAUAUACCUAUAUGUAUUAUUUCCUGUCUUUUAUACCUCGAUGGAAGCAAACAGGUGAGCGCUUGCAACUUUUUGGAGCUUACACGCGCGUUGCCGACUCUUUAAAGUUACAAGAAUUCACUGUUUUGACAGGUGAGAGUCAGAAUGGCGGGUGUACCUAAAUAAAAUUAAAUGAAAACCAUACCAUAUUUUUGUACCUAAUUUGUACUAUUUAGUACCUCCUUUAAAAAAAAUUUUACCUCACGGUACUUAAAGUUAUCACCAAAAAACAGGUCACGCGCCAUCCUGACAGUCAGAAUAGCGGGUGUACUUUAUUACGCUAUGUUCCCGUGGUUAUUGAUAAAUUCUAUAAAAGCCAAAUUUUUAUACCUUUUUUGUACCUUCAUAUUCAAUUAUAAUACGAGUCAUUUUAUUUUUGGUUUCCAAGUUUUACUCAUUUAUAUUUUGCUUGCUAUUACAAUUUUGCAGGCGUUAUAAUUUUUCAAAUUAUCGAUUUCAUUUUUAAGAAAAAACGCUAAGGUACAAUUAUUUUUAUUACGCCAGGAUUUAGUACCUUUAAUGUUUAAUCUGUUAAGUUCAAAUAACUCAGUAAAUCAUGUCUAUUUUGUAUUAUAAGUCGCAGUACUAUUUUGGAUGUGAUAUUCUGUAAGGUGGCUACUUUCCCAGUCGGGCUGAUCCAGAUUCGAGCACGAUCUUCGUUGUGCCUUACCUCUCUUUUGGUUGAAUUGAAUAUAGUUAAGAACAUACCAAAUUGCUAGAGGAAUAAAUAUAUAACGCUUAAUCCUUUUUUCUCACUGAAAUAGUUUCAAUAAACAUGUA